UACAGAGGGGGCAAGCGUUGUUCGGAAUUACUGGGCGUAAAGGGCGCGUAGGCGGCCCGCUAAGUCGAACGUGAAAUCCCCGAGCUCAACUCGGGAACUGCGUCCGAUACGUGGUGGGCUUGAAUCCGGGAGAGGGAUGCGGAAUUCCAGGUGUAGCGGUGAAAUGCGUAGAUAUCUGGAGGAACACCGGUGGCGAAGGCGGGAUCCUGGGCCAGUACUGACGCUGAGGAGCGAAAGCGUGGGGAGCAAACAGG
rnacentral:rRNA from 1 species